GAAAUCUUUGCUUUGUGCUAAAGUCAACAGUGGCACAGUUGGAGUUCCAAUAAAUGCCGGGAUGCUCCCAGCUCCCGCACAGCCGGGCCGGAGGCCGGGGCGCAGAUUUUCGUUCCGGGAGAGGGUUUGUCCCCGGAAGCGCCGCUCGCGGUGACAUUCCCGCGGCUCCUGCAUUCCAACAUCCUCGUGGGCCAAAAAAUAAGGGAUCCAAAGAUUCCCGCGGAUGUGUUUACUGGGAAAACCGGGAAUUUCAGUGGCCCUUCUCCAGGCCAAGAUUCCCAUCUCCGAUUGCCUCUUUGUGUCUGUCCUCGGCAGCGAUACCUGGGUCACGCUCCAGUAAUUCCCGACAGGAAUGGAGACAUGGCCUGGAUAUGGAUCCUGGCUGGGAUAUGGAUCCUGCUGGCCCUCAUGGAAACAGCAGUAAAAUCACAACAGCACCUCGGGAAUGCUGAGUUUCCCAGGAAUUUCAGGGAUGCAUGAGGGGGUUUCCUGAAGUUGAGCACAGGAAAGGCUUUGGAGAGGAGGAAAAAUUCCGUCAGGAAAAUCCCAUAAAAGUGAGCGGGCAUUAAACCCCUUCCAAGGCUUUUCUGAAAUGCCCCACCUUGGAGCUCCGGGAUCCACAAUGGAAGGAAAACAGGGAAGGGAUUAAAGUUUGGAUGCACAAAUCCAUUUUGGAAUCAUUCCUGGGAAUGGGGGGGGGGGGAACAAAUCCAGCAGCUCUGGGUGGAAAAAGGAGACAGAAGGUGGGAAUUGCUUCCAAAGGGGCUUUUCCAGGACUCUCUGUCCCCUUGGGUCUGAUCAGAGCCAUCAUUCCCAAACCCAUAAAAUCCCUGCAGAUGUUGAGCUGAUGGCAGACUUGUUUUUUUGGAAGCAUCCAGAGGAAAUCUCCAGUUUGGGAAGUCACUGUUUCAUCCCUGCUUUUCCCUUUGUUUCCUCUGCUUCCACACCCUCUUCCCCAUAAAUUUCCAAUGUGGAUUUUUAGGGGAAAAAGGAAAAAGACUGGGAAGGGCCUUUUCCAUAAGGAAAGGCAAAAAAUCACUGCGUGACCAGGAGAAAUUCCUAUGAGGAAAGAUCCUCCAAGGAAUAAAUCCAGCAGGAAGCAGGUGCUGGAGCA
rnacentral:lncRNA from 1 species